AAACUUUCAACAAAGGAUCUCUUGGCUCUCGUAUCGAUGAAGAACGCAGCAAAGCGCGAAAUGUAAUGUGAAUUGCAGAACAUUGUGAAUCAUCGAAUCUUUGAACGCACUUUGCACCCUUUGGUAUUCCGAAGGGUACACCCGUUUGAGUGUCAUU
rnacentral:rRNA from 1 species